rnacentral:rRNA from 1 species
AUUGAACGCUGGCGGUAUGCUUAACACAUGCAAGUUGAACGAUGAGAAGGAGCUUGCUCUUUCGAUUAGUGGCGGACGGGUGCGUAACGCGUAGGAAUCUACCUAUUAGUGGGGGACAACUUAGGGAAACUUAAGCUAAUACCGCAUACGCCCUACGGGGGAAAGAAGGGGAUCGCAAGACCUUUUGCUAAUAGAUGAGCCUGCGUAGGAUUAGCUAGUUGGUGGGGUAAAAGCUCACCAAGGCGACGAUCCUUAACUGGUUUGAGAGAAUGAUCAGUCACACUGGAACUGAGACACGGUCCAGACUCCUACGGGAGGCAGCAGUGGGGAAUAUUGGACAAUGGGCGAAAGCCUGAUCCAGCAAUACCGCGUGUGUGAAGAAGGCCUUAGGGUUGUAAAGCACUUUCAAUUGGAAGGAAAACCUCGAAGCUAAUACCUUCGAGUUUGACAUUACCUUUAGAAGAAGCACCGGCUAACUCCGUGCCAGCCGCCGCAGUAA